GGAUUCCAAGGAUCUUAAGAGGGAUAAAAUGUCUGCUGAAAACUGUGGGGUAGUGGUUGGUUGUGGUUCUGCUGGUGUAAAGGUAGUGAGGUCUGUAGUACCAGUGGUAUCAGGAUGCUGCUGUAACAGAGUAUAGGUAUGGCCUAUUUUCUCACAAACAUCCAUAUGCAGCAACAUUGUGCUGUCUAUAUAUGAUUCCCCAGAAACUGGCAGCAAUUUAUAUAGGCUAGCAUCAAAGCUAAAUGAGUUUGCUAUAGCAGUUAUAUACCCCCCAAAAACUAUACUACCUUUAGUAUGCUUUGUGACAAUUUGGUGCCAAUGAGUAGCUAUGAAAUGGGCUGUGCUUACUUGUUUUCUCUCCUUCAUGCACCACAAGAGAAACAAGUCACCAGCACCCACAAUACUGUUACUGUGUCCCCUUCCUAAAACAGUGUAAGAAAUGAACCUAUGGAGGUAUUUCAACACAUGAUCAACUAUCCUAGAGGCUUUUGCAGUCCUCUGUCUAUAAUAACCCCCAAAAGGUGCAAUGUCCUUCCAGAAUUGAACAGGGUCAUAAACAGUUUGCUGCCACUCAAUAUUUUUAUACCCCGAACCCUGAAAAUCAAAAAUUGCAUUCAUAGCAUCCAUGUCUAACUCCCUAUCAAUUCCAGCACAUCGAAAAUAUAUCUCAUCUUUAUGUUCAGGCACUGUUGGUUUGAAAUUCAGCCUUAAGGAACUCAAAAAUUCCAGGGUCAAAUCCUUGUACACUAGUUCCCUAAUCUUAGCAAAAUCAGUCCAGCUAACAGCAUCCAAAUAGGCAAAUACAGAGUCAUAGAUGCCUAAUUCUUUCAAAAUCUGCUCAUCCAUAUACUUAUUUGCCAAAAUAGGUUUAGAAACUAAUUUCUCAUAGGCAUUUUUCAUAUCCAUAUCCCUAAAAGCCCAAGGUAAUGGAGAAAUUACCUCCUCUAUAUUAUCGGCAGAUGACGCAGGUGCUGGAGAGUGUAAGAGAGACUGAGGUACUGGUGUUUGGGCCACUGGUGCUGGAGUUUGCGAGGAAGACCUGGUCCUUUUGCUGACUGGUUCAGAGGACGGCUGAGGUGGAGAAUUUAGGUCGAAAGGAAUAGAGUGUACUCGUUUUCGUUUUCCGACAGGGGUUUCCUUGGGUCUACCGGCAGCCCUUUUUGUUUUGCCUUUGGUUUUCGUUUGAGUAGGCGCAGGCUCAGGCACUGGUUCUGGGGAAUGGGUGUCGAGAAUUGGUGUUUCAUUUUGCGGUUCGGUUUGCGGCGAGAGGGGAUUCGGCGGAAUGAGAGGUGGUAUUUGGCUUGGGGGUAGUGGUGGUGAUUGAGGUGGUGGCGAUUGAGGUAAUGGCGGCGUUUGUGGUGGCGGUGACUGAGGGAGCGGCGGACUGGGGCUGGGGUUAGGGUUUGUGGGCAAUGAGGAUGGAAUACCCAUUUUCGAUUUGACAGAAUGUCGAAAUCUUCUGAGUUUGGGUUUGUGGGAAGACCACAUUUUAGUUCUUACCAUUUUAAUGAAAAGAAAGAAACCUUUCGGCUUCCCGUAAAGAUUUGCUGGAAAAAAUGGCGUGGGAAAGGAGUCGACGAGGUUUAUCGGGAGUGAGGGCGAGGUUCUUAUAAAAAUGGCGGAAAUUUUGGGUAUUUUAAAAUGUGGGGCAGGCAUGUGGUAAUAUGGGUCAUGCUUGGGGUUAAGCAUAAGGUUCAGCAGAAUUUGCUUAAGACUCUGCUUGACAAGCAACAUCAUCAGCAAGUUUCGGCAGGUUUUGGGAAAAAUUUUAAUUUUACUUACCAAAAGCAGUCCAAAUGCUAUGGAAUGCUGUCAUGACCCUCAGCAAUUACCAUAUACACACAAACACCAUAAAAUCUAGGGAUUUAAGCUCAUCAUCUCGUAGAACUCAUCAAACACUAUAUAUUUCCAUUUAGCUCAUGCA
rnacentral:misc_RNA from 1 species